AACGAACGCUGGCGGCAGGCUUAACACAUGCAAGUCGAACGAGAUCUUCGGAUCUAGUGGCAGACGGGUGAGGAACACGUGGGAACAUCCCUUUUAGUUCGGAAUAACGUUGGGAAACUAACGCUAAUACCGGAUACGUCCUUCGGGAGAAAGAUUUAUCGCUGAAAGAUUGGCCCGCGUCUGAUUAGCAAGUUGGUGAGGUAAUGGCUACGCAAGGCUACGAUCAGUAGCUGAGCUGAGAGGAUGAUCAGCCACCUUGGGACUGGGACACGGCCCAAACUCCUACGGGAGGCAGCAGUGGGGAAUAUUGGACAACGGGCGCAAGCCUGAUCCAGCCAUGCCGCGUGAGUGAUGAAGGCUUUCGGGUUGUAAAGCUCUUUUAUCCGGGAAGAUAAUGACUGUACCGGAAGAAUAAGCCCCGGCAAACUUCGUGCCAGCCGCCGCGGUAA
rnacentral:rRNA from 1 species